rnacentral:rRNA from 1 species
GACGAACGCUGGCGGCGUGCUUAACACAUGCGAGUCGAACGGAAAGGCCCUGCUUUUGUGGGGUGCUCGAGUGGCGAACGGGUGAGUAACACGUGAGUAACCUGCCCUUGACUUUGGGAUAACUUCAGGAAACUGGGGCUAAUACCGGAUAGGAGCUCCUGCUGCAUGGUGGGGGUUGGAAAGUUUCGGCGGUUGGGGAUGGACUCGCGGCUUAUCAGCUUGUUGGUGGGGUAGUGGCUUACCAAGGCUUUGACGGGUAGCCGGCCUGAGAGGGUGACCGGCCACAUUGGGACUGAGAUACGGCCCAGACUCCUACGGGAGGCAGCAGUGGGGAAUAUUGCACAAUGGGCGGAAGCCUGAUGCAGCAACGCCGCGUGCGGGAUGACGGCCUUCGGGGUGUAAACCGCUUUCGCCUGUGACGAAGCGUGAGUGACGGUAAUGGGUAAAGAAGCACCGGCUAACUACGUG